rnacentral:rRNA from 1 species
GACGAACGCUGGCGGCGUGCUUAACACAUGCAAGUCGAACGGUAAGGCCCUUCGGGGUACACGAGUGGCGAACGGGUGAGUAACACGUGGGUGAUCUGCCCUGCACUUCGGGAUAAGCCUGGGAAACUGGGUCUAAUACCGGAUAGGACUCCGGACUGCAUGGUCUGGGGUGGAAAGCUUUUGCGGUGUGGGAUGGGCCCGCGGCCUAUCAGCUUGUUGGUGGGGUGAUGGCCUACCAGGGCGACGACGGGUAGCCGGCCUGAGGGGGUGACCGGCCACACUGGGACUGAGAUACGGCCCAGACUCCUACGGGAGGCAGCAGUGGGGAAUAUUGCACAAUGGGCGCAAGCCUGAUGCAGCGACGCCGCGUGAGGGAUGACGGCCUUCGGGUUGUAAACCUCUUUCAGCAUCGACGAAGCGAAAGUGACGGUAGGUGCAGAAGAAGGACCGGCCAACUACGUGCCAGCCGCCGCAGUAA